GGCGCUGCCAGCUCUUUGCUGGAGGCUUGCUUGGAGACAGUCCAAAGCGUAACUGCGAGUCGCUGGCGCUGGAAGAGCCGAUUCGGAAAUAGAAUCCCUCCUGCAGAAAUAUAGGUGCUGGUGUCAGAAAAGGCCAAAGGAAACUUGUGGAUUAUUGGACCCGCCACCGCCGCCUACACUCUCAGCCGCAGACGGUCUCAAUAACAAUUCCACUCAGCGGACAGUCUGCGUGGUGACUAUAACCGAGGGCGCGCUCGGUCUGCGUUGAAUAGGAAGGCCGAACUUCAAUGCAAACAGGUGGUAGGAUGCAGAUGUCCAAGUGGUCACUGUGCACAGCAGCCUCUGAAAUUUCAGCCAUGUGGUAACAAUUCGGCGGUACCGAAUCCUCCCAACACCUGGCAAACUGAAACCACCGAACAGUUCAAUGAGUCGAGAAAAACUACAGAUAUGAAAUAAAAUAACUGUAACCGGAGGCGUACUCUGGUGUGAUACUGUAUUCCAGCACGGAAAGAGUGGCAGUAAUCCCUUCACAUUGAAGGAUUUGGAUAAUCUGUAAAGGGAUAUUUCCCAUCCUUGCCUGUAUGGUGAAAUCAUAUAGGUCUAUGUUCUAUAAAUUUGUAGACACUUAAUAUCUGUAUAUUCCCAGUGAAUAUGUGUAGUAGUUGAAAAAAUGCAAAAAUGUUGGAGAAAUUCUUCAUUGCCAUCCCUGUCAGCUAAAGUGCCAGCGGUGAAAAUUUUGCUUUAAUAAGAGCAGAUUGUAUUUUGGCAGAAAAUAGCGUAAAAUAAGGAUCUGUACAGAAUAGUAUCAGGGAAUUUUACCACACAGACGAAAUUAUUUGGUCAAUCGAGUCUAUGCUUUAAUGUAUAUUGUAGCAUACCCAGAGAAACAUCCAGUAGAACAGUUUUUUUUCUUUUCCAAAGAAAUUUCCUUGUGAUCAGUUUUGCAAAAUAAUUAUUUCAUUUCUUGUCCCCAUUUGUUUUCCAAAUAUUUCUUAAAGGCUAUAGUUCUAAAAGAGCUAAAACCUAGUUGUUGUAGGGUUGUCCUAAUAGUGAUAAUGGAGUUUCUUCACAUUGAAGAGUAUGGGCAGUUUGUGGAAGGGAUGUUGAGAGGAUUAACAUCAAUCACCUAAUAUUUAGAGCCUCUUCACAUUGAAGAGUAUGUAAUGCAUGUCUAGCCCUUGUGUGUGCAGUGUCAUUACAAGUGAUUCUUGUUCUGUAAUGUUUCUUUUAGUUUCAUGAAAAAUUAUCUGUAUAUUCUCAAUGUAUAUGUAUCUUAAUUGGAAUAAUGGCAAACCAUUUUAAGACAGCUCUUUCCACAGAGAUUUCCUGUGCAGCACGUGAUGUGGAUCUCGUAGACCUUUGCAGGUUUAAUAAAUCAUGGGUC